GUCUCCGUGGUCUAAUGGUUAUGACGCUCGCCUUCACAGCGAGAGGUCGCAGGUUCGUGUCCCGCCAGAGGCA
rnacentral:tRNA from 1 species